GACAAAUUUGCUCAAGUUGACAGCAACUUGUCCACCCACAUGAGCCGCCCAAGAAGCUGUCGUCUUCUGUAUUUCCCUCACCUGACAGCCGAAAUUUGCUCAUUCACUCAAUUUUAUGCAUUUAAAUUCAAUUUAUUUAUUUUAUUUCGUCAGCGCACACAACCACAAAAAAAAAACUGUGCCGCUGUGCCAACAAACAGAUUUUGUUCUAAUGACUUUUGAUAUAUGUUUAUACUUACUAUAUAUGUAUGCACCUAACCACGAAUUUAGCUUUUGUUCGACGGCUAUUCAAAUUAGGUUUGGCUUUUAUUAACAUGGCUUAUUUGACAUUACGGAAGCAAGUUGACUUAAAAGGCAAGCCACGUUGGAUUCUGGAAAUGCAAGAAAUUCAAUUCAAUUCCAUUAAGCUCGAGCUUAACCGUUAAAUAUCGUCUAUAAAUUAUCAUAAAAAUUAAUUCAAAUUUUUAUGCAUAAUUAUUGGAGCGUACGCAAAUUAUUUAAUAUAUAUUCUAUGAGUCAAUCUUCAGUAGAAAACGUACAAAAAUAGAAUGGAUCGACUAAAUUAAAGUUAUUCAUUUAGGUAUUCGAAGUUACUAAAUCAAUAGAGUUUAGCAAAUGAAAUCCCAAACUAUUUUAAAAAACAAAUACAUAAUGAAAAAGUUUCAAUAUGGGGGAAGUUUAAAUAAUAGCAACUCAAUUUUUUUUUUAUUUGUGUGAACAACAAUAGAUGUGAAUCAAUAGCCUACCACAAAUGACUUCUACAAAUACAUUACAAAAUUCAUAUUAUUUGGCAGUCAAGUUGACAAAACUUGUGGCAAUAAGUCAGCAAGAUUGAUGAGUUCAUACACUCAAUUUUAACAAAAUAGAUUAUAGACAACUGAGUUAAUUGCUUCAAGAAAACGUUUUGAACAAAGAGUUAAUUCCAUUUUUAAAUUGAAAAUGGCAACUUUAACACUAAAUUGACAUUUUUGACUCUAUUUCUCUCUGUCUCUCUCGCUUUCAUCUCUGCUUUAAAUUCCUUUCCAAUCAGUUGUGUAUCCAAUGCUUAUCAGAGAGCUCAUGAAAAUGCAGAUUAAAUUUUGUGUUGUUUUUGUAUACAUUCGCAUUCAUAUAUGUAUACUCAAAAUUCUGUUUUCAAGCAAUUUUGCGCAACAAUUGGCAAAUGUUGGAGCAACAAUUUUCCUCUUUUUUGAUUGUCAUACAUACCGCAGCUAACAUAUAGUACAUACAUAUAUAUUUUAAAUUGCGAGAGGCCUUUUCUUCUGUAUGUGUGUGUGACAUUUUUCACGCAUAGUUGGAUGCGGUAAAUCAUAAAAUAAAUAAAUAAACACAGUAGCUUGUAUGUUGUAGUACGAGAAUGUGGAUUUCUGUUUUGAUUUCGUUUUCGGUUUCGGUUUCUGUUGUGGCUUCGGUUCCACAUUGCCGGUUAUUGUGCCUUGUUUGGUUGAGUGACAGCUACGCAUCCGUUGGAGCUGAGCAAACUGAGUUGGGUGCUGAUGGGGUGCUUCACCGUUCUAGGGGUCGCUGGGGUUAUGUUAAUAUUUUGUAUGUAUGUGUGUUAUGUGAGUGCCGCAGAGCUGUCACCCCAUUGCAGCAAGAUAUCAAACUUAAGCGCCAAAAUGGUUGAUAGGUGACUCACCUGUACGCUUACAAAACUCGAAAUCGAUCGCCAAACCAUAUUGCCAAACAUUUCGAAACGCCCAUACGCCCCGUUGCCACCAAAUAUGAUUUAACCGCAAACUUGCUGAGUGCUAAACUUCUAGUAAGCAAGCAAACCAAAACCCGUUGACAGUAGUAUGUACUUGUAUCGCGUGGUGGUUGGAACUCGUCACCACUCGGCACCACUUGAGUCCAAAUGUACUGGCAGCUGCCAGUCUGGUGGCUGGUGUCUGCUGCCCCAUGCCACCGCCAUUUGUGACAAUCAAAGUUGUUAUACAAUAUUCAUACUUCAUUUCUUAUUAAUAUUUUUUUGUUCAUUAAGAGAGGAACUGUAAGCGCGUUUGUUUUUUAUCGAGCAGCCAGUGGAAUGAAUCAAUUAAUAUGGUCACGAAUAUGGAAAAGUAUUCGCAACAGUAAAUGAAAUGUUGAACUUGUGCGCCCUAAAGUCAACACUCUCCUCGAGUGUUUGUUCGUGUUCUAGAGCUCUUGUUCAGUGUGCGAGUCGGAGAGUUGAAAAGAGUUUUAUCAAAGAGGUUCGAUCGAUCAAUUUGCCAGUCCAACAAGCUAAAUAAUAAAUUCCCCAAAAACAAAAUUUAUACAAACACGUUCAAACUUCUCAUCUUUAGUUAUUUCCCAUUACUGAAGCGUGGCUUCUAAAAUGAAGACCUAAUAAUUAUGAACAGAAUUUUUCCACAAUAACUCAAACUUUUUAUAGUUCUUUUAUUUUCUCACAAUUAACCCAAUUUAUUUUCCUUCAUUAAAUGAGUAACUGUUUCAUUAAAUUUCUUGGCUUGUGAAUAUUUCAACUGCUCUAGUUUUUUUUUUUCCUUUUGUAUUUUGCAAUUAUAAUAUUUCAAAACUGUUGAAUCGCACCCCUUCCACAUAUUUAUCUCAGGCUUCGAUAUGUGUGUAUGAAGAUCGCGUGGGCAAUCGUUGAGCAAACAAGUUUGGCUGCAACAAAAAAAAUGAAUUAAA